GUGUCAGCAGCCGCGGUAAGACGAACCGUGCGAACGUUGUUCGGAAUCACUGGGCUUAAAGGGCGCGUAGGCGGGUUCGCAAGUCUGUGGUGAAAGCCCCCGGCUUAACCGGGGAAGGGCCGUGGAUACUGCGAAUCUUGAGGAGGGUAGGGGCAUCUGGAACGGUCGGUGGAGCGGUGAAAUGCGUUGAUAUCGACCGGAACUCCGGUGGCGAAGGCGAGGUGCUGGACCCUUUCUGACGCUGAGGCGCGAAAGCCAGGGGAGCAAACGGGAUUAGAUACCCCCGUAGUCC
rnacentral:rRNA from 1 species